rnacentral:misc_RNA from 1 species
UAUAGCCAUAGCUAUUUCUUGGCCAUAGCUAUUUCUUCAACACCCCAAUGCCAUAAUUAAAUAAGGGUGCAAGUUCUGAUGAGUCUCAAAAGCAUCUCUCUUACUCUUGUUGUUGCCAUUUUUGCAGUUUUGGAAUCAACAUUCAUGAUAAAUCCAAACCCAUCACUUAUUCUCAAACAACUCAUCGAACUUGGUUUUACCAUUGACGCUCAUCUUUACUACCACCACCAUAAUAAACACCCCAGCAAAGGCAAGCUAGUGAAUAUUUGUGAUGAUUUUCCACCAGAUAUUCCUCCUCCAGACAACAACACAACCUCUACUCUUUGCGUGGAUCCAAACGGAUGCUGUAACUUCACAACAGUGCAAUCAGCCGUUGAUUCAGUAGCAAAUUUUAGCCAGAAAAGAACCAUAAUUUGGAUAAAUUCUGGCAUUUACUACGAGAAAGUCAUUGUUCCAAGAACCAAACAGAAUAUUACAUUUCAAGGUCAAGGCUGUACAUCUACUGCUAUUGUAUGGAAUGACACAGCCAAUUCUUCACACGGCACAUUUUACAGUGGUUCUGUGCAAGUCUUUUCCAACAAUUUUAUUGCCAAAAACAUUAGCUUCAUGAAUGUUGCACCAAUUCCUGGGCCAGGGGAUAUGGGAGCACAAGCAGUGGCAAUAAGAAUAUCAGGAGACCAAGCAGCCUUCUGGGGUUGUGGAUUCUUUGGAGCACAAGAUACCCUUCAUGACGACAGAGGCCGCCAUUACUUUAAGGACUGUUACAUCCAAGGUUCUAUUGACUUCAUCUUCGGCAACGCUAAGUCACUCUAUCAGGAUUGUCAAUUGAUAUCGAUGGCGAACCCAGUAGCAGCGGGACAAAGAAUGAUUAACGGUGCAGUUACGGCUCAUGGACGGAGUUCAAAGGAUGAAAACACAGGGUUUGCAUUUGUGAACUGCAGCUUGGGAGGGACAGGAAGAAUAUGGCUAGGUCGAGCUUGGAGACCAUUUUCUCGUGUUGUUUUUGCUUUCACUUCUAUGUCUGAUAUUAUUGCUCCUGAAGGUUGGAAUGACUUCAACGAUCCAACAAGAGACCAGACUAUUUUCUAUGGAGAAUAUAACUGCUCAGGGCCAGGAGCCAAUAUGACUAUGAGAGCACCUUAUCUUCAAAGACUCAAUGACACUCAAGCUUCUACUUUCCUAAAUGUCUCUUUUAUUGAUGGUGAUCAAUGGUUGCAAUCCUACAAUUAUAGUUAGCUCAUCCCUAAAUAUAUUAUAUUAUCUGUUCUUUUUUAUAGCUGAUUUUAAACCAAUAUUCAACAAAGAAUUAUUGUAUUGUAUUGAAAUUUCAUUUACUGAAAUUUAAAUACUGAAUAAAAAUAGCUAGCAACUGUUUAAUUAAAA